ensembl:lncRNA
CUGCAUAAGGCAGAUGCGGCUGAAGACUCUGUCUCCUACCCUCCACUUUGCGAUCUAUACCACCAUAUAGGUGGGGAUUGAUCGUAUCCCAGAUGGGUAGAAGCAGUCCCAUCAGAAGACCAAAGUGCGGCUACGGUAAUCAAGGCUCUGACGAGAGAAGUCAUGCCAAAGUUUGGAAUUCCGUCACAAAUUAGCUCAGGCAAUAGGGCAGCGUUUAUUCAGAAAACACUCAAACAAUUGACUUAACAUCUGCAUGUCAAACAAAGAUUAGGCUGUGUCUACAUUCCUCAAACCACAAGAUAUGGUGGAGAGAGGAUUGGGACGCUUAAGACAAAAAUUAACAAAAUUUGUGCAAGUACUAACUUGAAUUGGACUAAUGCACUACGACUGACACUAAUGAGUUAUCGCAUGAAAACUAACAGAACGACGCAUCUAACCCUGCAUGAAAUUCUUACGGGUCGAUCCAUGCCUUCACCUGUCAUUCGAGGGCCUCAUAAAGGACCUCCAUUAGAACAAUUGGAAACUGAAUUAAGACGUUAUAUGGGACAACUAACUGGCAUACACAGGCUUAUUUUUCAACAAGAGAAAGGCAGAGUUCCAGAGUUGGAGAAGGAGCCACCAAGGGGGGUGGAGCCAGGUGACCAAGUAAGAGAAGGACCAUACAAAGUCGCCAACGCAACACCAACAGCCAUCCAAGUGGAAGGAAGUGCCACGUGGUAUCAUCACAACCACUGCACAAAAGCUGCUCAACCCAAAGCCAGAGACGACCGUGAGGAGGAGGAGCCAGACGCAGACACACGUGGGGCUGACCAGCUGCCCCAGGACCAGAUCCAGUCGAGCCAAGAGAUACAGCAGCAUGAUGAUGCUGAAAACGGGGAGCCUGUUUCUGAUCCUCUACGGGUUGUGCCAGAUUUCGCUGGCACAAGCACAGACCCCGAGGAAGGAUGAAACCACGGGGACAACACAAACCUGGAAGGGCCAGGAAUUAGGGGGUGGUACUGAAAGAAGCCAGAGAGAAACACAGGACAACCCGGCCCCAGCUCACUCAGGAACAUUCAACAAGAAAGGGAAAAUAGUCCUAUAUGCUCAGAUACCACCGCAGAACCGAGUUAAUGAAUUUGUGUUUACUGUUAUGUCGGAUAACCAACCGUUAUGUGCAUUAACCUUCCGCCAGAAUUAUGAACAUGUGCAUAAGAAGAAUCGGUGUGAAGUAAAUAUCCAUUUUAAUCCAAUGAAAUGGUGUUUAACAGUAACGUCAGGAAUACAUGGGGCUAUAACAGAAAGUAUAAAUUAAAUAUGAGAGAAUAUAUACUUCUUAAAGCUGUGGCUUGGCAGAACAAGACAGGCUUUAGAUUGGCUUUUAGCAGAAAAGGGGGGAGUUUGUGCUCUUAUAGGUGAAAUGUGUUGUACCUUCAUUCCAAAUAAUACUGCCCCAGAUGGAUCAUUUACACUUGCGAUGAACAAUUUAAAACGUUUAAGAAAAGAGUUAAAGGAAAACGCAAAUCCAUGCAAGCUUGUUGACAAUUUUAGUUUUUAAUUUCUAUUAUUUACUUAUUUUUGGAAAUAUCAUUUUUUGAGUUUCAUAUUUUUAUGUCAUAUAUUCUGAAAUGCUAAUUUUCAAUGCAUGUUGAAAAUACUGUGUUAUGUGUGACUUCUAGUUAGACAUGUUAGACAUUUGAUAGAUCUUUUUUGCCUUAAACCAGGUUGAGACUCCUGAACAUGUUUAAAGGUUUUUUAACGAUGAUCAAAUGUAGUGCAAAAUAUGACCCAAACGACUGUUAUGAUUUUGUUGUGAUCUUAGUAGUCACAAAAGGGGGGAUGUGUGGUAGAAAUUAGUGAGUAUAUUCUAUGGUAAACCAUGAUUAUUAAUAGGUUUUAUAUUUUAAAUGGUGGAAAGCAUUGUGCUUGCAGAAUCUGGGUUCAGAACAGAUGGUGCACAGGAAUGUCUAGGGAACUGGGG